rnacentral:ncRNA from 1 species
GGUUAAGUUAUGAAGGGCGCAUGGUGAAUGCCUUGGUACUAGGAGCCGAUGAAGGACGGGACAAACACCGAUAUGCUUCGGGGAGCGGUAAGUACGCUUUGAUCCGGAGAUUUCCGAAUGGGGAAACCCAAGCACCUUAGUCGGUGCUUGCUUGACCAGUGAAUCUAUAGCUGGCAAGCGGUAGACGCAGUGAACUGAAACAUCUCAGUAGCUGCAGGAAGAGAAAGAAACAUCGAUUCCCUGAGUAGCGGCGAGCGAAAGGGGAAGAGCCCAAACCAGUGAGCUUGCUCACUGGGGUUGUAGGACUGAACAUUUGAGUUACCAAAGUGCGACGUAGUCGAAACAGUUGGGAAACUGUGCCAGAGAUGGUGAGAGCCCAGUAGACGAAACGUUACACCCUCAGUUCAGGAUCCUGAGUACGGCGGGACACGUGAA